AGUAAGUGUUAGUUAUGGCGUUUGUUCCCAUGUUCUCUCGGUUUCUUGGUGUUUUCAGCUCAGUAUGAAUAAUGUGCAGUGUCAUGAUUUUUCUCUCAUGAGUUAACAUGUAUAGCUGCACCCGGUGUUCAUUAAUGUGAAUUCGACUGUUCGGACAGUGCAUUUUCAGUUUAGUUUAUCUCCCUUUCAGUCUUCACUUUAAGUUUUCUUUGUGUCCCCUGAAAAGUUCUCUUACCAUUGCUUAAUGUGCUGUCCCUUUGGAGUCGCUUGGCAUGCCCUGUUUUAAGAGUUCUUUCAUCAAAUGUUGAUUCUAUGUGUACUCUAAGCAUUAAGCGUGAUUCAUGUGAUGAUGGAGGUUGUUGUAACGUUAUACAUUGGUCGUUAUAGGCCUCGGCUCGAGUUCGUAUUUGUGAGGUUAAUUAAUGCGUUGUUUGGGGUUGUUGGUGUCCAAUGUUUGUCUCUCUUGGUUGGUUCUCUUUAAUAAGUUUCUUACGUUGCUUGAGCUUGUUAUUCGAACUCAAAAAAAAAAAAUUGGUUAGGGAGUUUUGAGGUUUGCUUCAAUAAGCCAUGGCACUGUUAUUUGCUUUUCUUUUCUUAGGCUUGGGAUGAUAUGUUGGUUUCAUGUGGACAACUCUUCUUCUUUUGACUUCUACAUCUUAAUGAAAGCAUGACUUCCCUUUGUU
rnacentral:misc_RNA from 1 species